rnacentral:rRNA from 1 species
UACGUUAUGCUCGUAGGCGUCGCCCAAGGAUGAGGCCGCGACCGAUCAGGUUGUUGGUGAGGUAAUGGCUCACCAAGCCUUUUACCGGUGCGGGCCGUGAGAGCGGGAGCCCGGAGAUGGGCACUGAGACAAGGGCCCAGGCCCUACGGGGCGCAGCAGUCGCGAAAACUUUGCAAUACACGAAAGUGUGACAGGGCUAUCCCGAGUGCCAUCCGCUGAGGAAGGCUUUUACCCAGUCUAGAACGCUGGGGGAAUAAGGAGAGGGCAAGUCUGGUGUCAGCCGCCGCGGUAAUACCAGCUCUCCGAGUGGUGUGGAUGUUUAUUGGGCCUAAAGCAUCCGUAGCUGGCUGAGUUAGUCCCUUGUUAAAUCCACCGAAUUAAUCGUUGGAUUGCGGGGGAUACUGCUCGGCUAGGGGACGAGAGAGGCAGACGGUAUUUCUGGGGUAGGGGUGAAAUCCUAUAAUCCCAGGAGGACCACCAGUGGCGAAGGCUGUCUGCUAGAACGCGCCCGACGGUGAGGGAUGAAAGCUGGGGGAGCGAACCGGAUUAGAUACCCGGGUAGUCCCAGCUGUAAACGAUGCAGACUAGGUGUUUGGACGGCCACGUGCCGUUCUAGUGCCGCAGGGAAGCUGUUAAGUCUGCCGCCUGGGGAGUACGAUCGCAAGAUUGAAACUUAA